rnacentral:rRNA from 1 species
CCUACGGGAGGCAGCAGUGAGGAAUAUUGGUCAAUGGACGCAAGUCUGAACCAGCCAUGCCGCGUGAAGGAAGACGGCCCUAUGAGUUGUAAACUGCUUUUGUACGAGGGUAAACGCAGAUACGCGUAUCUGUCUGAAAGUAUCGUACGAAUAAGGAUCGGCUAACUCCGUGCCAGCAGCCGCGGUAAUACGGAGGAUUCAAUCGUUAUCCGGAUUUAUUGGGUUUAAGGGGUGCGUGGGCGGUCGGAUAAGUUAGAGGUGAAAUCCCGAGGCUCAACUGCGAAAUUGCUUCUGAUACUGUUCGAGUAGAGAUGAGUUGGGGUAGUCGGAAUGUAUGGUGUAGCGGGGAAAUGCUUAGAGAUCAUACAGAACACCGAUUGCGAAGGCAGCUUACCAAGCUACUUCUGACGUUGGGGCACGAAGGCGUGGGGAGCAAACAGGAUUAGAUACCCGGUAGUC